rnacentral:rRNA from 1 species
UACGAAGGGUGCAAGCGUUACUCGGAAUUACUGGGCGUAAAGCGCGCGUAGGCGGCUCGUUAAGUCUGAUGUGAAAGCCCUGGGCUCAACCUGGGAAUGGCAUUGGAAACUGGCGACCUAGAGUGCGGUAGAGGGUAGUGGAAUUCCCGGUGUAGCAGUGAAAUGCGUAGAGAUCGGGAGGAACAUCCGUGGCGAAGGCGACUGCCUGGACCAGCACUGACACUGAGGCACGAAAGCGUGGGGAGCAAACAGG